AGGGAAUAGAUACCCGGGUAGUCCAUGCUGUAAACGAUGGAUGCUAGCUGUGAUGCGUAUCGACCCGCGUCGUAGCGAAGCUAACGCGUUAAGCAUCCCGCCUGUGGAGUACGGCCGCAAGGCUAAAACAUAAAGGAAUUGACGGGGACCCGCACAAGCGGUGGAGCGUGUUGUUUAAUUCGAUGGUAAGCGAAGAACCUUACCCAGGUUUGACAUCCUUGGAAGUUCUGCGAAAGCAGAGUGUGCCUUCGGGAACCAAGUGACAGGUGAUGCAUGGCCGUCUUCAGCUCGUGUCGUGAGACGUUAGGUUAAGUCCUUCAACGAGCGCAACCCUUGUAGUUAGUUGUAUUUUUCUAGCUAGACUGCCCUGGUAACAGGGAGAAGGAGGGACGAUGUCAGGUCAGUAUCUCCCUUAUAUCUGGGGCUACAAACACGCUACAAUGGCCGGUACAAAGGGAAGCCAACCCGCGAGGGGAGCAAAUCCCAUCAAAGCCGGUCUCAGUUCGGAUUGUAGGCUGAAACUCGCCUGCAUGAAGCU
rnacentral:rRNA from 1 species